UAGCCUGGGGUGUGAUGUCAGU
rnacentral:misc_RNA from 1 species